ACGGGCUCUUUAGGGAGCUAGUGGCGGACGGGUGAGUAACGCGUGAGAAUCUACCAAAAGGACUGGGACAACCACUGGAAACGGUGGCUAAUACCGGAUGAGCCGAAAAGUAAAAAGGGAAACCUGCCUUUUGAAGAGCUCGCGUCUGAUUAGCUAGUUGGUGAGGUAAGAGCUCACCAAGGCAGCGAUCAGUAGCUGGUCUGAGAGGAUGACCAGCCACACUGGGACUGAGACACGGCCCAGACUCCUACGGGAGGCAGCAGUGGGGAAUUUUCCGCAAUGGGCGAAAGCCUGACGGAGCAAGACCGCGUGAGGGAAGAAGGCUCUUGGGUCGUAAACCUCUUUUAUCAGGGAAGAAAAAAAUGACGGUACCUGAAGAAUCAGCCUCGGCUAACUCCGUGCCAGCAGCCGCGGUAAUACGGAGGAGGCAAGCGUUAUCCGGAAUUAUUGGGCGUAAAGCGUCCGCAGGUGGCUUAUCAAGUCUGCUGUCAAAGAGUGGGGCUUAACCCCAUAAAGGCAGUGGAAACUGAGAAGCUAGAGUGCCGUAGGGGUAGAGGGAAUUCCCGGUGUAGCGGUGAAAUGCGUAGAGAUCGGGAAGAACAUCGGUGGCGAAAGCGCUCUACUGGACGGCAACUGACACUCAGGGACGAAAGCUAGGGGAGCGAAUGGGAUUAGAUACCCCAGUAGUCCUAGCCGUA
rnacentral:rRNA from 1 species